GGCCUUAUAGCUUAACUUGGAUAGAGCUCUCGGCUACGGACCGGGCGAUCGGGGUUCAAAUCCCCGUAAGGCCA
rnacentral:tRNA from 1 species